UACGGAGGAUCCAAGCGUUAUCCGGAAUCAUUGGGUUUAAAGGGUCCGUAGGCGGUCUUAUAAGUCAGUGGUGAAAGCCCAUCGCUCAACGAUGGAACUGCCAUUGAUACUGUAGGACUUGAAUUUUUGUGAAGUAACUAGAAUAUGUAGUGUAGCGGUGAAAUGCUUAGAUAUUACAUGGAAUACCAAUUGCGAAGGCAGGUUACUAACAAACGAUUGACGCUGAUGGACGAAAGCGUGGGGAGCGAACAGG
rnacentral:rRNA from 1 species